rnacentral:rRNA from 1 species
GAUGAACGCUAGCGGGAGGCUUAACACAUGGCAAGUCGAGGGGCAGCACGAGGUAGCAAUACUUUGGUGGCGACCGGCGCACGGGUGAGUAACGCGUAUGUAACCUACCCCUGUACUGGGGGAUAACCCGGAGAAAUUCGGACUAAUACCCCCAUAAUGAUAUUUAAAGGCAUCUUUGAAUAUUUAAAGUUUUAAUGGUACGGGUUGGGCAUGCGUAAGAUUAGCUAGUUGGUAGGGUAACGGCCUACCAAGGCUACGAUCUUUAGGGGUCCUGAGAGGGUGAUCCCCCACACUGGUACUGAGACACGGACCAGACUCCUACGGGAGGCAGCAGUGAGGAAUAUUGGUCAAUGGGCGCAAGCCUGAACCAGCCAUCCCGCGUGAAGGAAGAAGGCGCUAUGCGUUGUAAACUUCUUUUCCAGGGGAAUAAGAUUUUGUACGUGUACAAAACUGAAGGUACCCUGGGAAUAAGCAUCGGCUAACUCCGUGCCAGCAGCCGCGGUAAUACGGAGGAUGCAAGCGUUAUCCGGAUUUAUUGGGUUUAAAGGGUGCGUAGGCGGAAAAAUAAGUCAGUGGUGAAAACCUGCAGCUUAACUGUAGAAUUGCCAUUGAUACUGUUAUUCUUGAGUGUGGUCAAGGUAGGCGGAAUGUGUAAUGUAGCGGUGAAAUGCUUAGAUAUUACACAGAACACCAAUUGCGAAGGCAGCUUGCUGGGCCAUUACUGACGCUGAUGCACGAAAGCGUGGGGAGCGAACAGGAUUAGAUACCCUGGUAGUCCACGCCGUAAACGAUGAUCACUCGCUGUUAGCGAUACACUGUUAGCGGCUAAGCAAAAGCAUUAAGUGAUCCACCUGGGGAGUACGGCCGCAAGGCUG